rnacentral:rRNA from 1 species
GAUCCUGGCUUAGGAUGAACGCUAGCGACAGGCUUAACACAUGCAAGUCGAGGGGCAGCAUAAAAGUAGCAAUACUUGGUGGCGACCGGCGCACGGGUGAGUAACGCGUAUGCAACCUACCUAUCAGAGGGGAAUAACCCGGCGAAAGUCGGACUAAUACCGCAUAAAACAGGGGCACCGCAUGGUGAUAUUUGUUAAAGAAAUUCGCUGAUAGAUGGGCAUGCGUUCCAUUAGGUAGUUGGUGAGGUAACGGCUCACCAAGCCGACGAUGGAUAGGGGAACUGAGAGGUUGGUCCCCCACACUGGUACUGAGACACGGACCAGACUCCUACGGGAGGCAGCAGUGAGGAAUAUUGGUCAAUGGGCGGGAGCCUGAACCAGCCAAGUCGCCGUGAAGGAAGAAGGAUCUAUGGUUCGUAAACUUCUUUUGCAGGGGAAUAAAGUGCAGGACGUGUCCUGUUUUGUAUGUACCCUGAGAAUAAGGAUCGGCUAACUCCGUGCCAGCCGCCGC